GUACACGCUGUGACUAGCAUAUCAAUAAGCGGAGGAAAAGAAACUAACAAGGAUUCCCCUAGUAACGGCGAGUGAAGCGGGAAGAGCUCAAAUUUGAAAUCUUAAAGGGUUUCCCUUUACGAAUUGUAGUUUAAAGAAGUGUUUUCUGUUGAGGUUUUGGUAAAAGUUCUUUGGAAUAGGACAUCAUAGAGGGUGAGAAUCCCGUAUUUGACCUUUACUUUCAACUUUGUGAUACACUUUCAAAGAGUCGGAUUGUUUGGGAAUGCAGUCCAAAAUGGGUGGUAAAUUUCAUCUAAAGCUAAAUAUUGGCGAGAGACCGAUAGCGAACAAGUACCGUGAGGGAAAGAUGAAAAGAACUUUGAAAAGAGAGUUAAACAGUACGUGAAAUUGUCAAAAGGGAAGCGUUUGACACCAGUGUUGUUUUUCUGAAAAUCAAUUAAAGAACUGUUUAUGCUAAGCUGUUUAGACUUUAUCAGCUAUCUGUUUAGUUUUGAGCUUUUCUUUAAUGCACUCUUCAGUUAACAAGUCAACAUCAAUUUCUUUUGCUGUAAAAAAGCUUGAGGAAGGUGGCUUGAGAUUCGUCUUAAGUGUUUAUAGCCUCUUGCCUAUGCAGUCGGAGAGAUUGAGGUCUGCAGCGUAGAUCCUUCGGGGCUAAAUGCAUUUGUGCUAAGUUAUAGCAUUUUAUAGACAACUUGUUGACUAUGAUUUGUCUUGUAGCUUACUCGCUUAUGUUAUUUUACCUACGCUUAGGAUGUUGACGCGCGUGUGUGCGUG
rnacentral:rRNA from 1 species